rnacentral:rRNA from 1 species
AUUGAACGCUGGCGGCAGGCCUAACACAUGCAAGUCGAACGAGUGGCGGACGGGUGAGUAAUGUAUGGGAAACUGCCUGAUGGAGGGGGAUAACUACUGGAAACGGUAGAUAAUACCGCAUACCAUCAGAUGUGCCAAGAUGGGAUUAGCUUGUUGGUGGGGUAACGUCUCACCAAGGCGACGAUCCUGAGCUGGUGUGAGAGGCUGACAAGCCACACUGGACGUGAGACCCUGUCCAGACUCCUACGGGAGGCAGCAGUGGGGAAUAUUGCACAAUGGGCGCAAGCCUGAUGCAGCCACGCCGCGUGUAUGAAGAAGGCCUUCGGGUUGUAAAGUACUUUCAGCGGGGAGGCGUUACCCGCAGAAGAAGCACCGGCUAACUCCGUGCCAGCAGCCGCGGUAAUAC